rnacentral:rRNA from 1 species
UACGUAGGUGGCAAGCGUUGUCCGGAAUUAUUGGGCGUAAAGCGCGCGCAGGCGGUCCUUUAAGUCUGAUGUGAAAGCCCCCGGCUCAACCGGGGAGGGUCAUUGGAAACUGGGGGACUUGAGUGCAGAAGAGGAGAGUGGAAUUCCACGUGGUAGCGGUGAAAUGCGUAGAGAUGUGGAGGAACACCAGUGGCGAAGGCGACUCUCUGGUCUGUAACUGACGCUGAGGCGCGAAAGCGUGGGUAGCGAACAGG